AUACGAAGGGGGCUAGCGUUGUUCGGAAUUACUGGGCGUAAAGCGCGCGUAGGCGGACUGGUCAGUUGGGGGUGAAAUCCCAGGGCUUAACCCUGGAACUGCCUCCAAUACUGUCAGUCUUGAGUUCGGGAGAGGUGAGUGGAAUUCCUAGUGUAGAGGUGAAAUUCGUAGAUAUUAGGAAGAACACCAGUGGCGAAGGCGGCUCACUGGCCCGAUACUGACGCUGAGGCGCGAAAGCGUGGGGAGCAAACAGGAUUAGAAACCCCAGUAGUCC
rnacentral:rRNA from 1 species